CAAGAGAAAUGAAUACCCAGUCUGGUGGGGAAAUGAAAGAGGCCACCGGGGUGACUAGAGAAGAGGGUCUGUGGGUGGGAAAUGGCAGAGGAGGUGGGCAGAGGUCGGGCCUGCAAAUACCAGGCUGGGGCUUGAGUUUGUGGGAUGAGCUGUCCCGGGGCUCUUGACCCUCUCUACUCCUCGAAGUGCCCUGCAGGGCAUGGGAAAGUUGGCAAUAAUGAUGGCCAACAGUACUGGCUGCUCACCAGGGGCCAGGCACUUCACGUGAGUCAUCUCAUUUAAUCCUCACCAACUCAGGAAGCAGUCAUCACCCCAUUUUACAGAUGCUGAACCCGAGGUGGGAAGAUUAAGUAUUUUGUCCAAAGUCACUCUGCAGACCGAGUAUCGGAACCUGCUGACCCCACCAACAGUAAGCUUGACAUUGGUAGGCAGUAUAUUUUAAAUUUGCAUGCAAAAUAUACCUUUUUUCUCCUUAAUACCAGAAAAAUGCUCCCCCACCGAAUCCUCAACUAAAAUCACCCUCCAGCUGUUUUCUGUUUGCAUGACUCUUGGGCAUGAUGCUGGGAAGCCCAGUGGAGGAUGUGGGAGCCCAAGGACGAAAAUACUAUUUUUUUUGAGAGGGCAUCUCUCAUAUUUAUUGAUCAAAUGGUUGUUAACAAUAAAAUUCUGUAUAGGGGACUCAAUGCACAAUCAUUAAUCAACCCCAAGCCUAAUUCUCAACAGUCUCCAAUCUUCUGAAGCAUAACGAACAAGUUCUUACAUGGUGAACAGUGCAAGGGCAGGCAGUCAUCACAGAAACUUUCGGUUUUGAUCACGCAUUAUGAACUAUAAACAAUCAGGUCAAAUAUGAAUAUUCGUUUGAUUUUUAUACUUGAUUUAUAUGUGAAUCCCACAUUUCUCCCUUACUAUUAUUAUUUUUUAAAUAAAAUGCUGAAGUGGUAGGUAGAUGCAAGAUAAAGGUAGAAAACAUAGUUUAGUGUUGUAAGAGAGCAAAUGUAGAUGAUCAGGUGUGUGCCUGUAGACUAUGUGUUAAUCCAAGCUAGACCAGGGCAAUAAAACAUCCACGGAUGCAGAAGAUUUCUCUCAGAACAGGGGGGGUGAGGUUCUAAGCCUCACCUCUGUUGAUCCCCAAUUUCUCACCUGAUGGCCCCCCUGCGACUGUGCCUGUCUUAAGUUGUUCCUCCCUUGAGGAAUCUUACCCGUCUCUGGCUAACCAGUCAUCUUCCGGGGCCAUACAGGGAAAUGUAAAGUUGGUAAGUGAGAGAGAAGCCUUAUUGUUUGAAAAGGUUAGCUUUUUACUUCUUUGCAUAUUUAUGCCCUGUGGCUUCUAUGCCCAGCAUUUGUCUUGAGGUAUCUUUACCACUUGGAAGAAUUAUGAUACUC